rnacentral:lncRNA from 1 species
CGCUUACGUCCCUCAGGCUGCAGCCAAUCCGCACAGCGGACGGCGACCAAUGGGGUUCACGCGCUGGAGGAGCACUGAGUUUAAAUGCGCAGCGCCGGUGGGUUUGGAGACUCGCUAGGACGCGCGCUUCCGGGCUCGGCCCCUACGAGCCAGCUGAGACGUCAGCAGCUGGAAUUGAGACAACUGGCAGCUUGGGUGUCUUUAGCCAGAAGGAGAUCAGCAACGUGUUGGAGGAGGAUGCAGU